AUGUAUAACUAACUCCCUGAAAGGCACCAGAUGCCAUCUGAUCUUGGGAGCGAAGCAAUGUCAGCCCUGGUUCAUACUUGGAUGGAAGACCACCAAUGAAUGCCAGAUGCUGUAGUCC
rnacentral:rRNA from 11 species